rnacentral:rRNA from 1 species
UGAAUACGAGAUGCUACGGCGUCGAAGCAGUCUAUGUCAUACUUCCAAGAAAAGCUUGCACUGUCAUAAACAAAUAAUGCCUGUACCAUAACCGACACAGGUGGGUAGUUAGAGUAUACUAAGGGGCGCGAGAUAACUCUCUCUAAGGAACUCGGCAAAAUGACUCCGUAACUUCGGGAGAAGGAGUGCCUUAUUUAUAAGGUUGCAAUAACAAGAUCCAAGCAACUGUUUACCAAAAACACAGGUCUCCGCUAAGUCGUAAGACGAUGUAUGGGGGCUGACGCCUGCCCAGUGCCAGAAGGUUAAAGAAGUUGGUUAGCAUCCGCGAAGCUGAUAACUGAAGCCCUGGUGAACGGCGGCCGUAACUAUAACGGUCCUAAGGUAGCGAAAUUCCUUGUCGGGUAAGUUCCGACCCGCACGAAAGGCGUAAUGAUUUGGAUACUGUCUCGGAGAGGGGCUCGGUGAAAUAGACUUGUCUGUGAAGAUGCGGACUACCUGCACCAGGACAGAAAGACCCUAUGAAGCUUUACUGUAACCUGAAAUUGAAAUUGGACUUUACUUGCGCAGUAUAGGUGGGAGGCGUUGAGAAUAUUCUUGCGGGAUUAUUGGAGCCAUCAGUGAGAUACCACUCUUGUAAUGUUAGAUUUCUAACUUUGUAUCAUUAUCUGGUCAAAGAACAGUUUCAGGCGGGCAGUUUGACUGGGGCGGUCGCCUCCUAAACGGUAACGGAGGCGCACAAAGGUUUCCUCUGAACGGGUAGAAAUCGUAUCUAGAGUGUAAAGGCAUAAGGAAGCUUGACUGUGAGACCUACAAGUCGAGCAGGGACGAAAGUCGGUCUUAGUGAUCUGACGGUGCUGAGUGGAAAGGCCGUCACUCAACGGAUAAAAGUUACUCUAAGGAUAACAGGCUGAUCUCCCCCAAGAGUUCACAUCGACGGGGAGGUUUGGCACCUCGAUGUCGGCUCAUCGCAUCCUGGGGCGGUAGUACGUCCCAAGGGUUGGGCUGUUCGCCCAUGAAAGCGGUACGCGAGCUGGGUUCAGAACGUCGUGAGACAGUUCGGUCCAUAUCCGGUGUAGGCGUUAGAAUAUUGAGAGGAGCCUUCUUUAGUACGAGAGGACCGAGAAGGACAUACCUCUGGUGUACCAGUUAUCGUGCCAACGGUAAACGCUGGGUAGCUAUGUGUGGAGUGGAUAACCGCUGAAAGCAUCUAAGUGGGAAGCCCACCUCAAGAUAAGUAUUCUC